rnacentral:snRNA from 1 species
UCACUUCAGCAGUAGAAACACUAAAACUGAACUAUAAANAUUAGCAUAGCCCCUACACAAGGAGGAUGUGAAAAUUCCUGAGAUGACCCAUACUUUU